rnacentral:rRNA from 1 species
AGGGUUCGAUUCUGGCUCAGGAUGAACGCUGGCGGCGUGCUUAACACACGCAAGUCGAACGAUGACUUCUGUGCUUGCACAGAAUGAUUAGUGGCGAACGGGUGAGUAGCACGUGAGUAACCUGCCCUUGACUUCGGGAUAAGCCUGGGAAACCGGGUCUAAUACCGGAUACGACCUCCUGGCGCAUGCCAUGGGGGUGGAAAGCUUUAUGCGGUUUUUGGAUGGACUCGCGGCCUAUCAGCUUGUUGGUUGGGGUAAUGGCCCACCAAGGCGACGACGGGUAGCCGGCCUGAGAGGGUGACCGGCCACACUGGGACUGAGACACGGCCCAGACUCCUACGGGAGGCAGCAGUGGGGAAUAUUGCACAAUGGGCGGAAGCCUGAUGCAAGCGACGCCGCGUGAGGGAUGACGGCCUUCGGGUUGUAAACCUCUUUCAGCAGGGAAGAAGCGAAAGUGACGGUACCUGCAGAAGAAGCGCCGGCUAACUACGUGCCAGCAGCCGC